rnacentral:hammerhead_ribozyme from 1 species
AUCCAGUUGACGAGUCCCAAAUAGGACGUGACGCGCAUCGUGUAU